rnacentral:rRNA from 1 species
AUUGAACGCUGGCGGCAGGCCUAACACAUGCAAGUCGAACGAGUGGCGGACGGGUGAGUAAUGUCUGGGAAACUGCCUGAUGGAGGGGGAUAACUACUGGAAACGGUAGCUAAUACCGCAUACCAUCGGAUGUGCCCAGAUGGGAUUAGGGAGUAGGUGGGGUAAAGGCUCACCUAGGCGACGAUCCCUAGCUGGUGUGAGAGGCUGACCAGCCACACUGGAAAUGAGACACUGCCCAGACUCCUACGGGCGGCAGCAGGGGGGAAAAGUGCACAAUGGGGGCAAGCCUGAUGCAGCCAUGCCGCGUGGAUGAAGAAGGCCUUCGGGUUGUAAAGUACUUUCAGCGGGGAGGCGUUACCCGCAGAAGAAGCACCGGCUAACUCCGUGCCAGCAGCCGCGGUAAUAC